UUUCAGGUGUGUUGGAGUAUCCAGGGUUUGCUGUAUUGGGUGAACUGGGUUCUGAUGAUACCAAGUAUCACUAGUUUUUGUUGCUUAUAUUUGUGCUUGCCUUUUGCCAUCUGGUUAUCUCUGGUGUUUCCUGGCCUUGCUGUCUCUUACUGGAACCUGUCAUUCCUGUGAGCCAGUGAGCCAGUGAGCCAGUGAGCCAGUGAGCCUGUAAGCCUAUAAGCCUGUGAGCCUGGGUGUUUCAGAACUCCUGAAGGUUAAGCUGUCUCUAAGAGCCUGUAAGUCUGUGAGCUUGGGUUUGUCAGCACUCCAUGGUCAAUUCCCUAGCACAGAUGGAAACUGAAGGGAUCAUGUCCCCAGCUGUCUGGUGGUUCCUGCAUUCCCUGGGCUUCUCAUAGAUCUCAGUGGGCCAGCUAUUGGGGAAGUAGUGGUGGUCUUACCUGUGAGCCUGGAUGUGUCAGCAUUCCUGGGGGCCAAGCUUUCCCUGGUGGGAUUGGAGUGUGGUGGGCUAUAGCACACUGACAGCUCCUUGGCACAGAUAUGCCUGACAGUUUUAAUUUACAAGUUUUUAAAACAGAUACUGAAGGUUGAAUUGUUUCUCUAAUAUUUUCUUAAUAUGUUGUGGUUAUAGGAAUGCUACUGACUUUUAUGUGUUAAUUUUAUAUUCUGUUGCUUUAUAAGUCUAUGAUUGUUCAGAUCUAAGAGUUUUACCAGGUUUAUAGGCUUAUUUGAGCCAAGAUUUCUGACAGAUUCCUGUGGUCUUUUGCCUGCUACCAUCAGCAAUCACCAGGUGACUUCAUGUUUUUUUAAUCUGGACAGUUGGUGGCAGCCAUUCUCUGGAGAGUGAUUAAUGGUAACUGUGUAAAGGAAAGUCAUGCUUAUGAAACAGUGUUUAAAGGGGCAAUGAGGGGACAUAGAAAGCACUCAUGCUUCUAGUCUAAAUUUUUCCUCUUUGCAUUAUCAGCUUGCUGGAGAUUUCAAAAUGGAGUUCAGAAACUGCAGGCAUCUAACUUCCUUCACCUGUAUGGGGAAGGUUUUGUCUCAUCUGCUCUAAAACCACAUUGGAAAGAUGAUUCAGUCACAGGUUCUAUCAAUGUACUGGAGUCUUUGGAGAGAAGCAUGGUGUGAGAUAACAGUGAUGGCUGUCUUGUUCUCAGGCUUCUGCUAGAUCUCAGGCUUAGGGAGAGUUCAUUUGCUCACCAUUUGCUAAGGCUAAAAGUGAAGUGAGCACCAUGAGACUGAUCCUGUGUCUUCUGAUCAUUCUGGCUGUUUGCUGCUAUGAAGGUACUCCUGUUCCCCAGCUGAAGAGUUCUGAAUCCACGCAGU